GAUUGUGCGCGCGGGCGGGGUGGCUCGCUCUGGAUUUUUCGGCGGAGGGUGAGUAAUGCUUAGGAAUCUGCCUAUUAGUGGGGGACAACAUCUCGAAAGGGAUGCUAAUACCGCAUACGUCCUACGGGAGAAAGCAGGGGAUCUUCGGACCUUGCGCUAAUAGAUGAGCCUAAGUCGGAUUAGCUAGUUGGUGGGGUAAAGGCCUACCAAGGCGACGAUCUGUAGCGGGUCUGAGAGGAUGAUCCGCCACACUGGGACUGAGACACGGCCCAGACUCCUACGGGAGGCAGCAGUGGGGAAUAUUGGACAAUGGGGGGAACCCUGAUCCAGCCAUGCCGCGUGUGUGAAGAAGGCCUUAUGGUUGUAAAGCACUUUAAGCGAGGAGGAGGCUACUUUAGUUAAUACCUAGAGAUAGUGGACGUUACUCGCAGAAUAAGCACCGGCUAACUCUGUGCCAGCAGCCGCGGUAAUACAGAGGGUGCGAGCGUUAAUCGGAUUUACUGGGCGUAAAGCGUGCGUAGGCGGCUUAUUAAGUCGGAUGUGAAAUCCCCGAGCUUAACUUGGGAAUUGCAUUCGAUACUGGUGAGCUAGAGUAUGGGAGAGGAUGGUAGAAUUCCAGGUGUAGCGGUGAAAUGCGUAGAGAUCUGGAGGAAUACCGAUGGCGAAGGCAGCCAUCUGGCCUAAUACUGACGCUGAGGUACGAAAGCAUGGGGAGCAAACAGGAUUAGAUACCCUGGUAGUCCAUGCCGUAGACGAUGUCUACUAGCCGUUGGGGCCUUUUGAGGCUUUAGUGGCGCAGCUAACGCGAUAAGUAGACCGCCUGGGGGAGUACGGUCGCAAGACUAAAACUCAAAUGAAUUGACGGGGGCCCGCACACCCGGUGGAGCAUGUGGUUUAAUUCGAUGCAACGCAGAAGAACCUUACCUCGGCCUUGACAUACUAAAAAACUUUCCCAGAGAUGGGAUUUGUGGCCUUCGGGGAAUCUAAGAU
rnacentral:rRNA from 1 species